rnacentral:tRNA from 1 species
GGCGUGAUAGCUCAGUUGGUAGAGCAACGGAUUGAAAAUNNAAUCCGUGUGUCCCCAGUUCGAUCCUGGGUCUCGCCACCA